GAUCCAGCUUGCUGGAUGCUGACGAGCGGCGGACGGGUGAGUAAUGCAUAGGAAUCUGCCCGAUAGUGGGGGAUAACCUGGGGAAACCCAGGCUAAUACCGCAUACGUCCUACGGGAGAAAGGGGGCUCCGGCUCCCGCUAUGGGAUGAGCCUAUGUCGGAUUAGCUAGUUGGUGAGGUAACGGCUCACCAAGGCCACGAUCCGUAGCUGGUCUGAGAGGAUGAUCAGCCACAUCGGGACUGAGACACGGCCCGAACUCCUACGGGAGGCAGCAGUGGGGAAUAUUGGACAAUGGGGGCAACCCUGAUCCAGCCAUGCCGCGUGUGUGAAGAAGGCCCUCGGGUUGUAAAGCACUUUCAGCGAGGAAGAACGCCUAGCGGUUAAUACCCGCUAGGAAAGACAUCACUCGCAGAAGAAGCACCGGCUAACUCCGUGCCAGCAGCCGCGGUAAUACGGAGGGUGCAAGCGUUAAUCGGAAUUACUGGGCGUAAAGCGCGCGUAGGUGGCUUGAUAAGCCGGUUGUGAAAGCCCCGGGCUCAACCUGGGAACGGCAUCCGGAACUGUCAAGCUAGAGUGCAGGAGAGGAAGGUAGAAUUCCCGGUGUAGCGGUGAAAUGCGUAGAGAUCGGGAGGAAUACCAGUGGCGAAGGCGGCCUUCUGGACUGACACUGACACUGAGGUGCGAAAGCGUGGGUAGCAAACAGGAUUAGAUACCCUGGCUAGUCCACGCCGUAAACGAUGUCGACCAGCCGUUGGUUGCCUAGCGCACUUUG
rnacentral:rRNA from 1 species